rnacentral:pre_miRNA from 1 species
UUUCAACAGCGCGGCUAGUGGCUUCGCAGUACCGGUUAGGUCUAACCGGUACUGCGAAGCCACUAGCCGCGCUGUUGAAAG